CAGUCGACGGUAGAGUAGCAAUACUCGAGAGUGGCGAACGGGUGAGUAAUAUAUCGGAACGUGCCCAGUCGUGGGGGAUAACGUAGAGAAAUUUACGCUAAUACCGCAUACGAUCUAAGGGUGAAAGCGGGGGAUUCGCAAGAACCUCGCGCGAUUGGAGCGGCUGAUAUCAGAUUAGGUUGUUGGUGAGGUAAAAGCUCACCAAGCCGACGAUCUGUAGCUGGUUUGAGAGAACGACCAGCCACACUGGGACUGAGACACGGCCCAGACUCCUACGGGAGGCAGCAGUGGGGAAUUUUGGACAAUGGGCGAAAGCCUGAUCCAGCAAUGCCGCGUGCAGGAAGAAGGCCUUCGGGUUGUAAACUGCUUUUGUACGGAACGAAACGGUCUGCCUUAAUACGGUGGGCUAAUGACGGUACCGUAAGAAUAAGCACCGGCUAACUACGUGCCAGCAGCCGCGGUAAUACGUAGGGUGCGAGCGUUAAUCGGAAUUACUGGGCGUAAAGCGUGCGCAGGCGGUUAUAUAAGACAGUUGUGAAAUCCCCGGGCUCAACCUGGGAAUUGCAUCUGUGACUGUAUAGCUAGAGUACGGUAGAGGGGGAUGGAAUUCCGCGUGUAGCAGUGAAAUGCGUAGAUAUGCGGAGGAACACCGAUGGCGAAGGCAAUCCCCUGGACCUGUACUGACGCUCAUGCACGAAAGCGUGGGGAG
rnacentral:rRNA from 1 species